rnacentral:rRNA from 1 species
UCGUCAGCUCGUGCCGUGAGGUGUCGGCUUAAGUGCCAUAACGAGCGCAACCCCUCUCUCCGGUUGCCAUCAGGCAAUGCUGGGCACUCCGGAGACACUGCCGCCGCAAGGUGUGAGGAAGGUGGGGAUGACGUCAAAUCAGCACGGCCCUUACGUCCGGGGCUACACCCGUGUUACAAUGGCCGGUACAGAGCGUCGGAGGCCCGCAAGGUCCUUCCAAUCGUUAAAUCCGGUCCCAGUUCGGACUGGGGUCUGCAACCCGACCCCACGAAGCUGGAUUCGCUAGUAAUCGCGCAUCAGCCAUGGCGCGGUGAAUACGUUCCCGGGCCUUGUACACACCGCCCGUCAAGCCAUGAAAGCCGGGGGUGCCUGAAGUCCGUGACCGCAAGGAUCGGCCUAGGGCAAAACCGGUGAUUGGGGCUAAGUCGUAACAAGGUAACCGUA